GUGUCCCGCAGGUGUUCAGUGGAGUCUCCGGGCAGGAGUUCUCAGCACAGAGGCAGCUGCUGUAGUUCCCGCAGCGGAUCCGUCUCCUCCACCGCCAGCAUCUCCAAAUCACCCAGCAGAUCAAGUGCAAAGUGCAGGAACGACAGGCACAAACAGGAAGGAAGUCACUCCAGCCACAGCCCACCGCCGUCCCCCACCACUGACCAGCCAAUCACGUGGCAGAAUGGGAACCACAGCAUCCGUGUACGCAAUGGCAAAGAUUCAGAAGCCAAUCACACGGAGGGGAAUAAAGGGAACGAUAAGCUUCGAUCUCUGGCUCCGUCUCCCUCGAGCACGCAGACGCACGCGUCGCCUCAUCUAAGAGUUGCUAAACACCACGCCGACCGUCCCAAGAGCCCUGGAGGACCAGCAGCGCAGACGGGACAGGACGGCUGCGCAGACGACAGGCCGGCGAUGGGCAAACCGCUCUCAGAGUCAUCGGGGAGAUGCGUCGGGAGGCCGAGGGUUCGAGAGAAGGCGUCGCACUCACCGGCGCACAGCAGCGACACUGAGCCACACACCAAACCCAAGAAUCAGAAGAAAACGAAAGCAUCUCAUUCGUCUAAGCGGCACCAUCGCGGACGCGCUCAGAAGCGCCACCGGAGUUCCUCUGUGUCACCGGGUCGGCACAAACACACGUCCAAGAAGAAGAAGAGCAAGAGUCACGGGACGGCCCGGCAGAGGAGCAGCUCCUGGAGCAGCGGGAGGUCAUCGUCACGAGCUCAUUCUAGAGAACGCGGAUCCAGCAAGAACAAAUCACCGCACUGUCAUGUCCGACAGAACAACUCCAGGGAGAGAGACAGUCCUCAUCAUUCGGAUGCAGAACGAGCCCGCCGCCGCUCGCGCAGCUAUUCUCCCAUCCGCAAGAGACGGAGAGACUCUCCCAGCUUUAUGGAAGCUCGCAGGAUCACCAGGUAAAGACAUCUCACACCGCCUCAGGAGUCUGUAGGUGUUUCUCCUUCUGUUUUUGUUUGGGAAUGCAUGGCCAUUUCUUCAUUUACAGGCUGUUUUCAGGUGUCAUAACUGCACUAUCUAGAGGCAAAUGUUUCUUUUUUCAAGCAUAUUUCA
rnacentral:lncRNA from 1 species